UUACCCAUGUCUUUUGAGUACCUUCGUUUCCUCGGCGGGUCCGCCCGCCGAUUGGACAAACUUAAACCCUUUGUAAUUGAAAUCAGCGUCUGAAAAAACAUAAUAGUUACAACUUUCAACAACGGAUCUCUUGGUUCUGGCAUCGAUGAAGAACGCAGCGAAAUGCGAUAAGUAGUGUGAAUUGCAGAAUUCAGUGAAUCAUCGAAUCUUUGAACGCACAUUGCGCCCCUUGGUAUUCCAUGGGGCAUGCCUGUUCGAGCGUCAUUUGUACCUUCAAGCUCUGCUUGGUGUUGGGUGUUUGUCUCGCCUUUGCGUGUAGACUCGCCUUAAAACAAUUGGCAGCCGGCGUAUUGAUUUCGGAGCGCAGUACAUCUCGCGCUUUGCACUCAUAACGACGACGUCCAAAAA
rnacentral:rRNA from 1 species